UAUUAUACUUUUUUUUUUUACCCGAUGUCUCUCUCUGCAACAAAGAUAAGGGAUUCAUUAACAGUACUCUUCUCAAAUCUCUGCACAUUUUCUCUUAUUCUCUUCUACAUUAUUCUUUUUGAAUCAGUGUUUUACAUCAUAUCAGUUGUGGACAAGUUAUGGCGACAUCCUAAGCGUACAAACAAAACGAUAGAAGAGCAUAUUCCGGCGGCUCAAUAUAGAGCCGAAAUUAAUUCAGAACCGGUUGAGUGUUCUGUUUGUUUAUCAAAAUUUGAGGAAGGAGUGGUGAUUAGAGAAUUGCAAUGUAGCCAUUUUUUUCACAAGGAUUGUGUUGAUAAAUGGCUUCAACAAGAGUCCCCGACAUGUCCUAUGUGUAGGAAAACCGUGAAAAUCGUCGUCAAUCAUGGUGAAUUUCUAAACCAUCAAGAGUUCGACGGCGCCAAUGAGUUGUUGUUUCCCAUGUUGUGCGGAAUGCAUGGUAGGGCUGCACAUGGUUCGGUUUUCAUCGGUUUUUUGAAAAAAUUAAACCGAAACCGAACUACUCGGUUUCCAAUAAUGAAAACCAAUGAAACCAUUUGGGUAGUUCGGUUUUUCUCGGUUCGGUUCCAACUCGGUUUUGUAUAAAACCAUUCGGUUUUUGGUUAACCACUGAAAUUUUUUAUAUCUGUCAGUCUCACAAAAAUGACAGGCAAAUUUUUCUGAACCUGUCACUCAAGUUUCAAAUACAUCAAAUGUUCCAACUUCCAAUACAUAUUGAUAGAAACAUUAAAUUUUAAAGA